AGUGAACGCUGGCGGUAGGCCUAACACAUGCAAGUCGAACGGCAGCACAGUAAGAGCUUGCUCUUACGGGUGGCGAGUGGCGGACGGGUGAGGAAUACAUCGGAAUCUACUUUUUCGUGGGGGAUAACGUAGGGAAACUUACGCUAAUACCGCAUACGACCUACGGGUGAAAGCAGGGGAUCUUCGGACCUUGCGCGAUUGAAUGAGCCGAUGUCGGAUUAGCUAGUUGGCGGGGUAAAGGCCCACCAAGGCGACGAUCCGUAGCUGGUCUGAGAGGAUGAUCAGCCACACUGGAACUGAGACACGUGCCAGACUCCUACGGGAGGCAGCAGUGGGGAAUAUUGGACAAUGGGCGCAAGCCUGAUCCAGCCAUACCGCGUGGGUGAAGAAGGCCUUCGGGUUGUAAAGCCCUUUUGUUGGGAAAGAAAAGCAGCAGGUUAAUACCCCGCUGUUCUGGCGGUACCCAAAGAAUAAGCACCGGCUAACUUCGU
rnacentral:rRNA from 1 species